rnacentral:rRNA from 1 species
CCUACGGGAGGCAGCAGUAGGGAAUCUUCCGCAAUGGACGAAAGUCUGACGGAGCAACGCCGCGUGAGUGAUGAAGGCCUUCGGGUCGUAAAACUCUGUUGUCAGGGAAGAACAAGUAUCGGAGUAACUGCCGGUACCUUGACGGUACCUGACCAGAAAGCCACGGCUAACUACGUGCCAGCAGCCGCGGUAAU